AUUGAACGCUGGCGGCAGGCCUAACACAUGCAAGUCGAGCGAGCGGCGGACGGGUGAGCAAUGUCUGGGAAACCGCCUGAUGGAGGGGGAUAACUACUGGAAACGGUAGCUAAUACCGCAUACCAUCAGAUGUGCCCAGAUGGGCUUAGCUAGUAGGUGGGGUAAUGGCUCACCUAGGCGACGAUCCCUAGCUGGUCUGAGAGGUUGACCCGCCACACUGGAACUGAGACACGGUCCAGACUCCUACGUGAGGCAGCAGUGGGUAAUAUUGCACAAUGGGCGCAAGCCUGAUACAGCCAUGCCGCGUGUGUGAAGAAGGCCUUCGGGUUGUAAAGCACGUUCAGCGGGGAGGCGUUACCCGCAGAAGAAGCACCGGCUAACUCCGUGCCAGCAGCCGCGGUAAUUC
rnacentral:rRNA from 1 species